GAUGAAGAACGCAGCGAAAUGCGAUAAGUAAUGUGAAUUGCAGAAUUCAGUGAAUCAUCAAAUCUUUGAACGCACAUUGCGCCCGCUAGUAUUCUGGCGGGCAUGCCUGUUCGAGCGCCAUUUCAACCAUCAAGCCCUGUUUAGGCUUGUGUUGGGGCCCUGCGGCUGCCGCAGCCCCCUAAAUGCAGUGGCGGGCUCGUUGUCACUCCGAGCGCAGUAGCGUAUCUCGCUCUGGGCGUGGCGGCGGGUGCUAGCCGUGAAACACCCACUAAGGUUGACCUCGGAUCAGGUAGGAAUACCCGCUGAACUUAAGCAUAUCAAUAAGCGGAGGA
rnacentral:misc_RNA from 1 species